GGUUGUUUGCGCAUGCGCAUUCCGGAUAAACCUUCCUCGGACGGAAAAGAGAUGGAAGAUCUUUGUACAAGACAAGCUACUGCUGGCUCUGCUUUCACUGCUCUCACUAUCAUUCGCGACUGGUAUGGAAACAGAGCACGUUAGUGAGAAAAGCCUUGAAGCUCGACCGGAGGCGCUAGGUCCUGGCAUGGUGACCUGAACAGGAAGGAGUGUAGGCAGCUGUAGAUGUCCAUGCAGAGUGCAGAAUAUACAAAAGAAUAAAAGAAGUGGAGC